UACGUAGGGUGCGAGCGUUAAUCGGAUUCACUGGGCGUAAAGGGUGCGUAGGUGGCCAGGUAAGUUUGGUGUGAAAGCUCGGAGCUUAACUCCGAAAAGUCAUUGAAUACUAUCUGGCUGGAGGGACGUAGGGGGACCUGGAACUUCCGGUGGAGCGGUGAAAUGCGUUGAGAUCGGAAGGAACGCCCGUGGCGAAAGCGAGGUCCUGGACGUCUACUGACGCUGAGACGCGAAAGCUAGGGGAGCAAACGGG
rnacentral:rRNA from 1 species